rnacentral:rRNA from 1 species
AAUAUUUAAGGGCCGCGGUAAUCUGACCGUGCAAAGGUAGCAUAAUCGUUAGUUUUUUAAUUGGAAUCUUGUAUGAAUGAUUGGACAAGGGGGGUACUGUCUCUGUGUUUAUUUUUGAAUUUAACUUUUAAGUGAAAAGGCUUAAAUGAUUUAAAAAGACGAUAAGACCCUAUAAAGCAUUUUGUUGGGGCGACAAUGGUAAAAUGAUCAACUACUAAAUUUUUAUGACAAAUAUUAAUGAAAUGAUCCCAGGAUAAGAUUUAAAGAUGAAGUUACUUUAGGGAUAACAGCGUUAUUUUUUUUGAGAGUUCUUAUCGAAAAAAAAGUUUGCGACCUCGAUGUUGAAUUAAAAUGUCUAUUCAAUUGCAGAAGUUGAAAUAGUAGGUCUGUUCGACCUUUAAAAUUUU